GACGAACGCUGGCGGCGCGCCUAACACAUGCAAGUCGAACGGAGCUGCGAGAAGCUUGCUUUUCUUAGCUUAGUGGCGAACGGGUGAGUAACGCGUGAGUAACCUGCCCUGGAGUGGGGGACAACAGUUGGAAACGACUGCUAAUACCGCAUAAGCCCACGAUCCGGCAUCGGAUUGAGGGAAAAGGAUUUAUUCGCUUCAGGAUGGACUCGCUUCCAAUUAGCUAGUUGGUGCGGUAACGGCCCGCCAAGGCGACGAUUGGUAGCCGGACUGAGAGCUUGAACGGCCACAUGGGGACUGAGACACGGCCCAGACUCCUACGGGAGGCAGCAGUGGGGGAUAUUACACAAUCGGGGAAAGCCUGAUGCAGCGACGCCGCGUGGAGGAAGAAGGUUUUAGGAUUGUAAACUCCUGUCGUUAGGGACGAGAAUGACGGUACCUAACAAGAAAGCACCGGCUAACUACGUG
rnacentral:rRNA from 1 species